CAAGUUGGUGUGCCAACCGCCAAUAAACACUAAAGAAGAAGAAGAAGAAGAUCAAGAAGAAGAACAAGAACAAGAACAAGAACGUGCGUGCACGCAAAACACUGAGGCCCCUGGUCGUCCAGAAAACACGCAGAAGGAUAUGAUGUUACUGCUCGCCUCGAUGGGGGAAGAUGUUGUGCUGCCCCUCUUGGAUAUGAGGUGAUGAAACCUUAAGGACAGCUUGGUGUCCUCUCUGGCCUUCAACACUGCAGCAUGAUGUGUGCUGCAGCAGAGGCUGUCGUCCCAGGAUGCAGCAGGAGAGGCUGUCGUCCCAGGAUGUAGCAGGAGAGGCUGUCCUCCCAGGAUGCAGCAGAGGCUGUCCUCCCAGGAUGCAGCAGCAGCAGAGGCUGUCCUCCCAGGAUGCAGCAGGGCGUCACAGCAGAGGUGUUCUGCAGGAGAGGCUGUCCUCCCAGGAUGCAGCAGCAGAGGCUGUCCUCCCAGGAUGCAGCAGCAGAGGCUGUCCUCCCAGGAUGCAGCAGGGCGUCACAGCAGAGAAUCCUGAGAUGUGAAGAGGAGUGACUCCAUCUUUUUCCUAUUGCUGCUCCACAACUGAUCUGGUGACAUCAUUGCACAUUGUGGCAAAUACCUUUGUACAGCUGUUGUGGUUGUGUACACUGCAACAGAAUGUCUACUUACUGAAAUAAACAACCAUUACUCUCACUUGU